ACAGGGGGAUAGCCCGGAGAAAUCUGGAUUAAUACCCCAUGGUACAUAUUGAUGGCAUCAGAGAUAUGUUAAAGAUUCAUCGGUAUAAGAUGGGCAUGCGUCUGAUUAGCUAGUUGGCGGUGUAACGGACCACCAAGGCGACGAUCAGUAGGGGUUCUGAGAGGAAGGUCCCCCACACUGGCACUGAGAUACGGGCCAGACUCCUACGGGAGGCAGCAGUAGGGAAUAUUGGGCAAUGGUCGGAAGACUGACCCAGCCAUGCCGCGUGCAGGAAGACGGCCCUCUGGGUUGUAAACUGCUUUUAUCUGGGAAGAAAAAGGCCAUGCGUGGCAAAUUGCCGGUACCAGAUGAAUAAGCACCGGCUAACUCCGUGCCAGCAGCCGCGGUAAUACGGAGGGUGCGAGCGUUGUCCGGAUUUAUUGGGUUUAAAGGGUGCGUAGGCGGCUGAUUAAGUCAGCGGUGAAAGACUUCGGCUUAACCGGAGCAGUGCCGUUGAUACUGGUUGGCUUGAGUGUCGGAGGGGUACAUGGAAUUGAUGGUGUAGCGGUGAAAUGCAUAGAUACCAUCAGGAACACCGAUAGCGAAGGCAUUGUACUGGCCGACAACUGACGCUGAUGCACGAAAGUGUGGGGAUCGAACAGGAUUAGAUACCCUGGUAGUCCACACCGUAAACGAUGAUUACUCGCUGUUAUGGUGUAUGCUGUAGUGGCCAAGCGAAAGCGUUAAGUAAUCCACCUGUGGAGUACGCCGGCAACGGUGAAACUCAAAGGAAUUGACGGGGGUCCGCACAAGCGGUGGAGCAUGU
rnacentral:rRNA from 1 species